GACGAACCGAGCGAACGUUGUUCGGAAUCACUGGGCUUAAAGGCGCGUAGGCGGGUGCUCAAGUCCGUGGUGAAAUCCUCCGGCUCAACCGGAGAACUGCCUCGGAUACUGGGCGUCUCGAGUGUGGUAGGGGUAUGCGGAACUAUCGGUGGAGCGGUGAAAUGCGUUGAUAUCGAUAGGAACUCCGGUGGCGAAGGCGGCAUACUGGACCACCACUGACGCUGAUGCGCGAAAGCCAGGGAGCGAACGGG
rnacentral:rRNA from 1 species